GAGGAGCGCCCCGGGGCGCGGAGCCGCCUCAGCCCGGAGGAGCCGGGAGGAGGGGAAGACGGAGGCCCGACUGCUCGGAGAAUUGUUAUUUUUCAUCAAUCAGCCGCAAUUUGUGUAAGUGCCCCGGACAGGACACCAGCCGUCCUGCUGGCUGGGGUCACGGAGACAACGCAGCGAUGGAGAAGAGCAAAUUGCAUUUGCUCACCAGCUCACAGAUCCAAAUUACGGCCCUCGCAUGGCGCGGGGAAGGGAGCGAAAGGUCCAUGUGACAUGAGGGAAAUAUGAAGGACUUUGACAGGUCUUAAACGGCCUGGCGCCAAGGCCUAAGUCUACCGGCUAAAAAUAGAAAAGAGAUGAUGAGUGGAGAUGGGCAGAGAUGAAAGGGAAGAGGGAGCGGGGCCGCGGCGCGGGGGCGGCUGGGCCGGGCCCCUUCCUCGGAGCUGAUCCCCGGAGUGGUUCCCCGGAGGAGCCCGGCUGAUGCCGCCCGGCCCGGGGAGCGCCGUCGGGGCCGCACACGGAGCCCCGAAGGAAGCAGUGCCCACGGACAGGAGGCACUGUAAGCGGGAUGGUGAGGGGACCCUUCUCCCCCCGACUUGGGAAAGGGCCCAUGGGCUCGGGCGGGGCUCGAGGUGGCGACUCCCCCUGCCCAGGGCCCGGCUGUGGCCGAGGAGUGUGUCUCGGGGUCCGGCUGUGCCCGCCCCGUCUGCGAACACGGGCUCUCAAUUGCGGUUUCACGAACGGAUCUGCCCCGGGGAAUGGAUGCGCGCCGUCCCCGUGUGCCCCACCUCAGCUGUCCCACCGACGGGCGCUGCCACAGAGGCUCGGGGAGACGAGGCGGCUCUGGAUCGGUUUUUAUUCUGCAGGCGUGGGCGUUCGCGACGUUACAGCUGUGCCGGGGGGGUCCCGGAACCUGGGCCCGGGGAGAGGCGACGUUUCUUUGCGGGGCCCCGCACUGCCCCUUGGAGCUGCGGUCAGCACAUUUCGACGGUGGCGAGGAAGCAAAGUCCAAAUGAGGUCUAAAUUUCAAUCCCCGCUCGCCACCUCGCCCCGUUCAAUGGUCAGCGGGACCGAUCCCCCCCCCCAACACACACA
rnacentral:lncRNA from 1 species